rnacentral:snRNA from 1 species
AUUGCUUCUCGGCCUUUUGGCUAAGAUCAAGUGUGAACUAUUUGUUCUUCCUGUCCAGGAGCAUGGAAUAUUUUCCCAUUUUUUGUGUCUUCAAUUUCUUUUAUAAGCUUUC